ensembl:lncRNA
GGGGCAUUGAAGAACCUUUCGGAGCUGUCAUGUUGAGCAAACGGGGAGUCUACAGUGGUGGAUUCUCCAGGCAAGAAUACUGGACUGGGUUGCCGUGGCCUCCUCCAGGGAGUCUUCCUGACCCAGUCAUCAAAGUCGGAGUCUCUUAUGUCUCCUGCAUUGGCAGGCAUGUGGGACCUUAGCUUCCAGACCAGGUGUGGAACCUGCACCCCCUGCAUUGGAAGGCGAAGUCUCAACCACUGAACCAGCAAGGAAGCCCUUACUCUAUUUUUUAAUGGGAGCAAUGUCACAAAUUGUCUUGAAAUUCCACUUGAGCAAUUUUUUUCUGUGUAACCUGGAUAUGCUUUUCAUCAUUCAUAAAAAGUAAAAAUAUUUUUAAAAUAUCAUAUGAAAGUAAAGUAAUAAGCAAAAGCAUUCAUUCUGCUCUGUAUUCCAUUAUCAAUCGUUGUAGGGUGGGCAUUAUACUCUAUGUCCUGUUACAGCUUUAUAGGUUAACAAAAUUGAGGGUAAGUGGGUGUAAGGAAUUCACUCAAGGUUAUGUGGUUAUUAAAUGUAUUGUGGGGAUUAUACCCAUUUGUCUAAAUGGGAAUUUAAACCCAGGUUUAUGUAAUUCCAAGGCUAGUAUUCUUUCCCUGAACUUCCUAAAUAAUAAGCUCACACAGCUUUAGCUUGAUUGAUUAUAUUGGUAUCAGCUAAGCUGAAUGACUUUUACUACAGAGCACUUAUAAAAAGAAAAGUAAUCCUAGAGACUUGCUUCAUCAGAGGUGUUCAGAAGAAAGCAGGUUUACUCCAGGGAAAAGUUCAAAGGGUUCAAAAGUUCAAAGACCCAUAGCUGGGAGGCUGUCCUUCAAAAGGAAGGAUUUACUUCGAGGACAAAUGUUGCUGUAGGGCAAUGUGGUCUAAAUUUCCCUUAUUAGAAGGCUCACUUGUGAUGCUUGUUAAAAAGCAUAGACUGUUAGCCCUCCCCUUUAGAGACUCUGAUUUGGGAGGGUUUAUGUGCUAGAACCCAACAACCUGUAUUUUAAUGAGGACCCCUCCUCCCAAGAGUUUGUGAUCAUGGAAGUUUAGAAAACAUUGCUUAAAAAGGAUGGGUCAGUAUUCUGAACUCCCAGAAUCUAACAGAGACAUGUAUUUUAAACAGAUGUUAGAAAAAGAGUAUCACAAAAAAAUCAUCAAGGAGAUUUUGUGUAAAGAUAGCUGUAAAUAGACUGUGUGAAAAAAAAAAUAAAUCAGAGUAAAUGAAGUUCAAAUAAAAUACAGUAAGGUCCUCUACAUACCAACCUUCAAGUUUCGAACUUUGAAA